rnacentral:misc_RNA from 1 species
AGCAGCCGCGGUAAUUCCAGCUCCAAUAGCGUAUAUUAAAGUUGCUGCAGUUAAAAAGCUCGUAGUUGAAUUUCGGGAUCAAUAUGUUGGUCGUGCCUCGGUACGUACUGGCUUAUUGGUUUCUCCCUUCUGACGAACCAUGAUGUCAUUUAUUUGGUGUUAUGAGGAAUCAGGACUGUUACUUUAGAAAAAUUAGAGUGUUUAAAGCAGGCUCACGCUUGAAUACAUUAGCAUGGAAUAAUGAAAUAGGACGUUUGAUUCUAUUUUGUUGGUUUCUAGGAUCGACGUAAUGAUUAAUAGGGAUAGUUGGGGGCAUUAGUAUUCAAUUGUCAGAGGUGAAAUUCUUGGAUUUAUUGAAGACUAACUACUGCGAAAGCAUUUGCCAAGGAUGUUUUCAUUAAUCAAGAACGAAAGUUAGGGGAUCGAAGACGAUCAGAUACCGUCGUAGUCUUAACCAUAAACUAUGCCGACUA